GGCUUAUUUUGCUCAGGCGGAGCUCGACCGCCACUGGAAAAAAUAAUGCCACUCAUCGAGCGCCUGAGUGGCCAAUACGGGGUCGGGCCAGUCUGCCGUGAGCUGGAUAUUGCCCCG
rnacentral:ncRNA from 1 species